AAGAGGACAGGAGCCGAACCGCUGUGGGAAAGUCCCCCGUAAUGCUCCUCAGCUCCCUCCGCAGAGACCAGAGGGCCGAAGAAAGCCUCAUUCACAAAGCGCUAUCCGAUGAGCCGGCCUCUAAAAGCCUCCAGCAGCACGCAGAGGCCCGAGACGGACGGAUCAGCAGAUCUGUGAGGAACCUGGAGGCCUGGCAGGCGCUCAAGCCACCUUUUGUGUGGGUCAUGUGCACGCAGCCUGGAUGCUUCUCUCACACACACACACACACACACACACGAGCGUGGACAUACUUUGACAUUGCCAUGUUUAUUCAUGAGGGUGGUUCUUCCUGCAUGUGGAGACCUGCUCUGCUCCAUCUACAACUGUUUCU
ensembl:lncRNA